GCGAACCUUGUCCUCCGGUCCUCGCAUCAGAGCACUUAGCAUUUUGCUUCCCUAGGGCAGCUGGCCUGUCGCUCCGUCCUUCAAACAUUUGUAUUAAAUCCAACCUUAAGAGUGACUCACAUCUCUGGCUGGAUUGCCAGGGGACCUUGGGCAGAUUUCUUAGCCUUUCUGAGCAUUCAGUUAUAAGGGCAAAUAUUUUUGGAGGCACAGUGUGGACGCGUAGUAUGAACUGAAUGAAAGAAAUCGGUUUCGUCAAAAAUAAACAGAGUUGAAUUAGUUGUAUUUGGUAUUUCUCUUUCUUGUCUGUGGAUCCAGUCAGCAAAAGUUAAAUUCAGGCAGCAAUAAUGUUUUACAUUUAUGUAUUACUAUAUAUUUUCAGCUCCUUUUCAUAUGUAUUAUAGAAUUUGUGUCCAGAAUUGGGACAGUAACCAUAC
rnacentral:lncRNA from 1 species